UCGCCACGGUAAUACCAGCCCCGCGAGUGGUCGGGACGGUUAUUGGGCCUAAAGCGCCCGUAGCCGGCCUGGUAAGUCCCCCUCCUAAAAUCCCCGGGGCUCAACCCCGAGGACCGGGGAGAUACUACCGGGCUAGGGGGGCGGGAGAGGCCGAGGGUACUCCCGGGGGUAGGGGCGAAAUCCUAUAAUCCCGGGAGGACCACCAGUGGCGAAGGC
rnacentral:rRNA from 1 species